rnacentral:rRNA from 1 species
GGACGGGGGAGGAACACGUGGGUAACCUGCCCUUAAGUGGGGGAUAACAUUUGGAAACAGAUGCUAAUACCGCAUAGAUCCAAGAACCGCAUGGUUCUUGGCUGAAAGAUGGCGUAAGCUAUCGCUUUUGGAUGGACCCGCGGCGUAUUAGCUAGUUGGUGAGGUAAUGGCUCACCAAGGCGAUGAUACGUAGCCGAACUGAGAGGUUGAUCGGCCACAUUGGGACUGAGACACGGCCCAAACUCCUACGGGAGGCAGCAGUAGGGAAUCUUCCACAAUGGACGCAAGUCUGAUGGAGCAACGCCGCGUGAGUGAAGAAGGCUUUCGGGUCGUAAAACUCUGUUGUUGGAGAAGAAUGGUCGGCAGAGUAACUGUUGUCGGCGUGACGGUAUCCAACCAGAAAGCCACGGCUAACUACGUGCCAGCAGCCGCGGUAAUACGUAGGUGGCAAGCGUUAUCCGGAUUUAUUGGGCGUAAAGCGAGCGCAGGCGGUUUUUUAAGUCUGAUGUGAAAGCCCUCGGCUUAACCGAGGAAGCGCAUCGGAAACUGGGAAACUUGAGUGCAGAAGAGGACAGUGGAACUCCAUGUGUAGCGGUGAAAUGCGUAGAUAUAUGGAAGAACACCAGUGGCGAAGGCGGCUGUCUGGUCUGUAACUGACGCUGAGGCUCGAAAGCAUGGGUAGCG